ACGACCUUACUUGAACAGGAUCUGUUCUAUAGGCUCGUACCUCUGUAUCCUUGAUUCCUAAGGAGACAGGAAACCAUGUCUGGUUGAUGACCCAUGGCCGCUCGACCAGAGCGUGAUUUAACCGAACUCACUGGCUCGCCCAGUUGACUCAGUAGAUGAUCGUUCUCGGUCAGCUUCGGCUGCCCGAGGUGGUCGAGCAGCUGUCUGACAGACU
rnacentral:snoRNA from 1 species